rnacentral:rRNA from 1 species
GACGAACGCUGGCGGCGUGCUUAACACAUGCAAGUCGAACGGUGAAGCGCCUUCCUUUUUGGUGGGUGUGGAUGAGUGGCGAACGGGUGAGUAACACGUGAGUAACCUGCCCCCUUCUUCUGGAUAACCGCAUGAAAGUGUGGCUAAUACGGGAUAUUCUGGGUCUGUCGCAUGAUGGGUCUGGGAAAGAUAUUGUUUCGGUGGGGGAUGGGCUCGCGGCCUAUCAGCUUGUUGGUGGGGUGAUGGCCUACCAAGGCGGUGACGGGUAGCCGGCCUGAGAGGGUGGACGGUCACACUGGGACGGAGACACGGCCCAGACUCCUAAGGGAGGCAGCAGUGGGGAAUAUUGCACAAUGGGCGCAAGCCUGAUGCAGCGACGCCGCGUGAGGGAUGGAGGCCUUCGGGUUGUGAACCUCUUUCGCCAGUGAAGCAGGCCUGCCUCGUUUGUGGGUGGGUUGACGGUAGCUGGAUAAGAAGCGCCGGCUAACUACGUG